UCUAGUGGCGCACGGGUGCGUAACGCGUGGGAACCUGCCUUAAGGUUCGGAAUAACAGUGAGAAAUUACUGCUAAUACCGGAUAAUGUCUUCGGACCAAAGAUUUAUCGCCUUUAGAUGGGCCCGCGUUGGAUUAGCUAGUUGGUGGGGUAAAGGCCUACCAAGGCGACGAUCCAUAGCUGGUCUGAGAGGAUGAUCAGCCACACUGGGACUGAGACACGGCCCAGACUCCUACGGGAGGCAGCAGUGGGGAAUAUUGGACAAUGGGCGAAAGCCUGAUCCAGCAAUGCCGCGUGAGUGAUGAAGGCCUUAGGGUUGUAAAGCUCUUUUACCCGAGAUGAUAAUGACAGUAUCGGGAGAAUAAGCUCCGGCUAACUCCGUGCCAGCAGCCGCGGUAAUACGGAGGGAGCUAGCGUUGUUCGGAAUUACUGGGCGUAAAGCGUACGUAGGCGG
rnacentral:rRNA from 1 species